UCAUGUGGUUAUUGAUAAUGGGAAGAAAUGUACUGUUAGUGUGGAUUAUUUGUGGAAGCCUCCACAAUGCAGUGUGUUCGACGUUUUGUCACAACGAAAACAAGUUCCCAAAGAGAGUGAUUGCUUCAUCUCCUGUUGUGACUUACACUCCCAAAAUUAAAGAUAAGGCUAACUAUUGUCCUUCAGGUCAACAAGAUAUUGUGAUGCAAGUGUUUCCUACUAUUGUGAAGAUUGGUCCCAUGUUACUCAUGAAAAGAAGUCUAUGAAGAUUAGUACUGAUUUUACUAUUAAGGAUAAUGUCUCGGUGGUUCUGGAUUCUCCUAUGUUCCCUCCUGGAUUUGAGCCGGAUAUGACUCAUAUUGAUCUUAGUCAGCUUCAUAUUCUACAUAACACAUUUUCACCUCUUCUUAAAGAUGUAGUUGUUGAGGAGGUGGUACAAAAAUACACAGUGACCAAGCCAUGAAGGAGAAUGACACUCCUUUAACCCUGAAGAGCUCAGUAUAAUAGCUAGUGUUGUUGGUAAACCUCUACUACUGGAUGGACCUACUGCUGCUCGAACAAGAAUAGCAUAUGCCCGAGUAUGUGUGGAAAUCAAUCCUAAGUCUGAGUUGAAGAAGACAAUUCAUGUGGUUUUUUAUAAUGGGAAGAAAUGUACUGUUAGUGUAAGUUAUGUGUGGAAACCUCCACGAUACUCAGGUGCUCGACGUUUUGUCACAACGAGAACAAGUGCCCAAAGAGGGUGAUUGCUUCACCUCCUGCUGUGAUGUACACUCCCAAAAUUAAAGAUAAGGAUAACUACUUUCCUUCAGGUCAACAAGAUAUUGUGAUUCAGGUGUUGCCUAUUAUUGAGAAAGAUUGAUCCCAUGUUACUCAUAAGAGGAAGUCUAUGAAGAUUGGUAGUGACUUUACAGUUAAGGAUCAUGUAUCGGUGGUUCAGGAUUCCCAUACGUUCUCUCCGGCCUGGAUUUUAGCGGGAUAGCACUCAUGUGGAUCUUGUUCAGCUUCAGAUUCCACAUAUCACCUUUUCACCUCUUCUUGAAGAUGUAGUUGUUGAGGAGAUGGUACAAGAAAUACACAGUGACCAAUCCAUGAAGGAAAUCACAAAAAAUUGUGGGGGGUGACUCUUCUGAGGGUAUGGUUGGAUUUAAACAGAUUAGAGAUGCGUUUAGGAAUGGCUCACAAGGUUCUUCAAGAAAGAAUGAGGUGUUUCGUUUAUGGGUGUUAGAGGUACUGACCUUAAGAAAUUAGGUUGGGUUCGCCAUUCCUCCUCAAGGAUUGUCAGUCAUGAUUAAUCUAGAAUGUCGGAAUACAAGAGGGCUCAAUGACCCUCUAAAGAAGGUGGAGCAAGCAGGAUGCCCACACAAGAUUACCUGCAAGCUGGGCAGGGUUAUGAUCAAUUUUUGCAAUGGAUGAGUCAGUUUCCUUGUUCAGUUGCGUACUUUCUUCCUAGUGGUAUUUCUGAUCACUCCCCCAUGAUUCUCAGUGUGUUCUAUGGUAGAGCCAAUGGUCCUAAGGCUUAUAGGUACUAUAACACUUGGGCUGAAGAUGAAGAUUUCAUAGCAGUUAUAGAGGAGGCUUAGAAACUAGAAGUUCAAGGAACUCCCAUGUUCAGGUUUGUGUCUAGAUUGAAGAAUGUCAAACAAUUUCUAAUUACUCAGAGAAGAGAAGGUUUACUAAUUUGAGUGCUCAAGUUGGUGUUGCUAAGGAUCAUCUUGAGACUAUGCAGAAAAGUCUUCAGGUUAAUCCUUUUUGUCUUGUCAAUAUUUCUACUGAGAGAAAUGCAGUUCAGGAUUAUGCUAAAAAUGUGAGAUAUGAGGAGUCUAUGAAGAGGCAACCAUCUAGCGUUCAAUGACUCAAGUUGGAUGAAAACGAUACUCGAUCCUAUUUUUAUAAUUCUAUUGUGUAAAGAAGAGCUACAAACAUAAUUCUAGUCAUCUAUGACUCUGGGGGUACUAAGCUCUCUACGGAUGAAUAAAUUGGCCAGGGAUGUGUGUCGUACUAUACAAAGCUGUUUGGAAAACAAUUUGAUGUGCAUAUUGAUGCUGCUGCUUGGGAACAUAUUGAGCUGAGUAAGCAUGUUUCUUUGGGAGAAGAUGACCUUUUAACCCUGCCAGUCACUAAUAAUGAGAUAUUUUUCGCUUUGUUUACUAUUGUUUCGGAUAAGGCCCCUGGCACAUAUGGAUUUUCCUCUCAUUUUUUCAAGUGCUGUUAGAGAAUUAUUGGAUCUGAUUUUAUUAAAGCUGUGAAGAGAUGCUUCUCGAGUGUAAAAUUCCUAGGUGAGGUAAAUGCCACUUUUAUUUCCUUGAUUCCUAAGACUACUAAUGCUUCUAUGUUGAAUGAUUUUAGACCCAUUUCCUGCUGUAAUGUGUUGCAUAAGUGCAUUCUUAACUAUUCGGCGUAA